UGUCUGGAGCCCAGCGGCGGGUGUGAGAGUCCGUAAGGAGCAGCUUCCAGGAUCCUGAGAUCCGGAGCAGCCGGGGUCGGAGCGGAUUAUGGCAUCGUCAAAGCAUUGUGGUGUCUUUUUUACUGCUGCUUGCUGUGCUUAUAGCUACGUAUUAUGUUGAAGGAGUGCAUCAACAGUAUGUGCAACGUAUAGAGAAACAGUUUCUUUUGUAUGCCUACUGGAUAGGCUUAGGAAUUUUGUCUUCUGUUGGGCUUGGAACAGGGCUGCACACCUUUCUGCUUUAUCUGGGUCCACAUAUAGCCUCAGUUACAUUAGCUGCUUAUGAAUGCAAUUCAGUUAAUUUUCCCGAACCACCCUAUCCUGAUCAGAUUAUUUGUCCAGAUGAAGAGGGCACUGAAGGAACCAUUUCUUUGUGGAGUAUCAUCUCAAAAGUUAGGAUUGAAGCCUGCAUGUGGGGUAUCGGUACAGCAAUCGGAGAGCUGCCUCCAUAUUUCAUGGCCAGAGCAGCUCGCCUCUCAGGUGCUGAACCAGAUGAUGAAGAGUAUCAGGAAUUUGAAGAGAUGCUGGAACAUGCAGAGUCUGC
rnacentral:lncRNA from 1 species